ensembl:lncRNA
UGUGCCAGUGCUAUUUGUGUGCUGCUGUCAUGCAAACUAACACUUUCAUCAUGCCUAUAAUUCAUGUUAUUUUGUUUAAAUUUUUACAUCCUUUCAACCAUCUUUCUUUAAAUUAAAUCCAGGGCGAGGAGGCCAAAAAUCUUCCCGGAGAGUCUGUGACUGAGGAGCAGUUCACAGACGAAGACGGAAAUCUGGUCACGAGAAAAACUGGAGAAGGAGGCAGCAAAAAACAAGGCAAGAAGGGUCAAUCGUAACAGUGAAGCUCAUGAAAUGAUCCCCAGUCAUCCACCUGCGACAUAGCGCACCAGGAGGGAAUUCUCAAACUGGAAACACCUGCACCGGGAGCCACGUCGACAACACCAAAAUCUGAAAUUUUCACUUUUAAAAAAACGCAUGGUUUUACAGAAGCAAAACGACUUCAUUUAUACAUUUGAUUUCGCAUGAGCAUGUCACCACUACUUUUACAGUUGGAACAGAAAACGACACACACAACGCAGGGACCGAGUUUGACCAAAGAUGGCGCUACUGGGACAAAAAUCGAAAAUACACAAAACGGACUUCCCGAUAGAUACUUGCCUUAUAUGGUCGACUUUUCCUGUUGGAGCCGCAGCAUUCAGGUGCACUGGGUGGUUCCUAUAUGAAAAAAUGAAUUAUAGCAGCGAAUGGGUGAUUUUAAUGUAAAUAAUUGACACUGUAUAAAUCAAUAGAGUUUAUGCACUGAUGAGCGGAGGGAAAGCUUUGCCGAAUCAGUGAGUUUGUACGGAGCGAGGGGCGCAUAAUGUUUAGUGCCCCUCCUCAGUGUUGCUCUUCCUGACAACUACAAAACAAGCUGUAUGUAAAUGAAUGACAAACAUGCUUGACGAUUAACAAAAUGGGCGUUUCCUGAAUCCAGUUACUACCCGGAAUUUUUUUUUUUUUGAUUUGACUCAGAGAAACUAAUUUUUGCUGCAUGUAACAUCACUUUCCUUUAACUUUCCUAAUUUUCCUGCUAAUACGAAGCACUGUAAUCCUAUUACCGAUGGUACUUCUGUGUGGACACUCAUAGUAACUCAUCUAUGCCUGUUUUUAUUUGAUUUUUUUUAUAAUGUUUUUACACACUCCGCUCAUUCAAAUACGUAUGCUUCCACAAAUACUAGCUAGCAGUUUCCAAUUACUCACCAAUACAAAUGACUGUAGACUUUGUUAGCUUCAG